rnacentral:rRNA from 1 species
CGGUCUUUAGCUUGCUAAAGAUGUCAGCUAAGCGGCGGACGGGUGAGUAACAUAUAGUUAACCUGCCCCUUGGAAAGGGAUAACAGUUGGAAACGACUGCUAAUACUUUAUACUCCUUUUUAAUUAAUUUAAAAAGGGAAAUGCUUUUGUGCCAAGGGAUGGAACUAUAUCCUAUCAGCUUGUUGGUAAGGUAAUGGCUUACCAAGGCUAUGACGGGUAGCUGGUUUGAGAGGAUGAUCAGCCACACUGGAACUGAGACACGGUCCAGACUCCUACGGGAGGCAGCAGUGGGGAAUAUUGGGCAAUGGGCGAAAGCCUGACCCAGCAAUACCGCGUGGAGGAUGACGGUUUUCGGAUUGUAAACUCCUUUUAACUGAGAAGAUAAUGACGGUAUCAGUUGAAUAAGCACCGGCUAACUCCGUGCCAGCAGCCGCGGUAAUACGGAGGGUGCAAGCAUUACUCGGAAUCACUGGGCGUAAAGAGCGUGUAGGCGGUCUAUUAAGUCUUGUGUGAAAUCUUACGGCUUAACCGUAAAACUGCACAGGAAACUGAUAGACUAGAGUAUGGGAGAGGUAGAUGGAAUUCUC